ensembl:lncRNA
GAGAGAGAGAGUUUAGAAGGAGAGAGAGAGAGGUUAGGAGGAGAGAGAGAGAGAGGUUAGGAGGAGAGAGAGAGGUUAGGAGGAGAGAGAGAGAGAGUUUAGAAGGAGAGAGAGAGGUUAGGAGGAGAGAGAGAGUUAGGAGGAGAGAGAGAGAGAGAGAGAGAGAGAGAGAGAGGUUAGGAGGAGAGAGAGAGAGUUUAGAAGGAGAGAGAGAGAGGUUAGAAGGAUAGCUAGAGACAGAGAAACAUACAUUUCUAGGUUAUUCUUUCCUUCAUAUCCUCCAGGAAAACACAGACAGGAGAACACUAAAUCUUAAUUGCAUCGCUCCAAUAAUGGCAGCUGACAGAGAAGCCUGCAGUCAGACAACACAAAC